rnacentral:rRNA from 1 species
UACGACUACAUAUCAGGCAUAUCAAUAAGCGGAGGAAAAGAAACUAACAAGGAUUCCCUUAGUAACGGCGAGUGAAGCGGGAAGAGCUCAAAUUUGAAAUCUUCAAGGUUUUACCUUGACGAAUUGUAGUUUAAAGAAGUGUUUUCUGUUGAAGUUUUGGUAAAAGUUCUUUGGAAUAGGACAUCAUAGAGGGUGAGAAUCCCGUAUUUGACCAUUAUUUUCAGCUGUGUGAUACACUUUCAAAGAGUCGGAUUGUUUGGGAAUGCAGUCCAAAAUGGGUGGUAAAUUUCAUCUAAAGCUAAAUAUUGGCGAGAGACCGAUAGCGAACAAGUACCGUGAGGGAAAGAUGAAAAGAACUUUGAAAAGAGAGUUAAACAGUACGUGAAAUUGUCAAAAGGGAAGCGUUUGACACCAGUGUUGUUUCUACGAAAAUCAAUUUAUGAUGGCUUGAUGCUAAGCUUUAAGACUUUAUCCGCUUGUUGUUUAGUUUUCUUGUCUUUGUGAAUGCACUUUUCGUGGAACAAGACAACAUCAAUUUCUUUUGCUGUAAAAGGGUAAGAGGAAGGUGGCUUCGGCUUCGGUUGAAGUGUUUAUAGCCUUUUAUCCCUGCAGUCGGAGAGAUUGAGGUCUGCAGCGUAGACUCUUCGGGGUUAGAUACGUCGGUGCUAAGCUAUAGCUUUUCAUAGACAACUUGUUGACUAUGUUUAGUCAUGUGGCUUACCCGCUGGCGCUAUUUUACCUACGCUUAGGAUGUUGAGCGCAUGUCUCUCUCU